rnacentral:rRNA from 1 species
UGGGGAAUUGUUCGCAAUGGGCGCAAGCCUGACGACGCAACGCCGCGUGGAGGAUGAAGGUCUUCGGAUUGUAAACUCCUGUUGAUCGGGACGAACAACCAUCGGGAUAACACCCCGGAGGUCUGACGGUACCGAUUGAGGAAGCACCGGCUAACGCCGUGCCAGCAGCCGCGGUAAUACGGAGGGUGCAAGCGUUGUCCGGAUUUAUUGGGUUUAAAGGGUGCGUAGGCGGCUUGAUAAGUCCGUGGUGAAAGCCAACAGCUCAACUGUUAAACUGCCAUGGAUACUGUUGGGCUUGAGUACAGACGAGGUAGGCGGAAUUGAUGGUGUAGCGGUGAAAUGCAUAGAUACCAUCAAGAACACCGAUUGCGAAGGCAGCUUACUAGGCUGUAACUGACGCUGAGGCACGAAAGCGUGGGGAGCGAA